CUAGGUUUGGCUCCAACUUUCUAUUGUUUCAAAGAGUUACUGAAAAUCCCCUUGCUUAUGUGAUCUCUCCAUUUUUAAGUGUUGACCGUCAACUCACAUUUUCCCAAGACAGCCACGAAAUCAAACAGAACAGAUUCUGCAGGACACACUUGGCCACCAUUCUCUGGUUUACAUCACUUGUCUUAAAGAGGAAGGGAAUGAGCUGGUUUCCACGCUGGGAAGAUCUUGUGUUCCAUUUGAGCUUUGGUGCAGGGCUGUCGUGCGGAAUGCAAGCAGACAGCGCCAGCGGCUAACACUACCCAGUUCCUAAUGGGUGCCAGACACUGUUCUAGGCGCUGUACCUAAAUAAAACAGUUCAUGUGAUACCCCAACCAUGACGCUAUUUCAUUCGGGUCACAAAGGGGUUAAAUAAACCGGCGGCGGCAAGUCCAUUUUCAGCACCAGUUAAGUCACGGAUUGAAAACUGCUGGUAGGAGGGCGUAGUUCCUUCAGGGACUUAGAGACGAAGGUUGACUCCCCACGCCUUGUGGUUUUCUUAGGACAGGCGAAGGGUUCCUGGUCGGGGGACGGACAGCCAGUGUGCAUCCUCCUGGCGGGGGGCCACUGUGCAUUUGGGGAUUAGCAAAAGGAGUGACUGGAUCCACGGGGAGGGAGGAACGUGCGAGGGGGUCCUGCCGCCCAGAAACCCAGCGGCAGAGACAACUAACUUUUCUUGGCGGACGAGGGAGAGGGGGCCGUGGUCUUCCUAACCCCGGGGCUUGGCUCGGGGCCCCCUGUGACUGCCCCCAGGGCCAAGCUCCCACCUCUAAGGGCAGAGCGCGCGCGCACGUGUGCGUGUGUGUGUGUGGGGGGGGGGAGGACUUGGUGAUCGAGGGUCACGCGCAGGUGGCUUUGCCGCGGUGGUGGCGGCGGUCGCAGAGGCGACACCGCUGGACGCGGCGGCGGAGGGACAGCCGGCCACAGGCGCCGCGGGGCGGGCCAGGUGCGCGCGGGUCUCGCCUCCCGGAGCCGCAGCGCCGCGGGCAGGGUCAUAGUCACCAGUGACCUUCCUCCAGUGUCCCUUAUGUCCCUCUGCUCCACACCAGCAGACUCUCAGCAAGCCCCAGGAUACCUCCCACCAAUGACAGGUAAGUCAUUGAUCAGCCUUGAGAAUCAGCUGAGAGCAGGAUCUAUUUAAAGAAGCACAUGUUUCCAGGUGCUGAGUCAUGUUGGGCUGGACCGGGAGGCUCAAGUCCAGGCAGCAUGGACGUUCAUGGGACAGCAGCCACUGCAGCCUGGGUCAGUUAUCCUAUGGAGGCUAAGCUGAAAUGCUACAUUUAAUGAGAUGAAACACAGUAUCUUGAGCCCCCCCCCCCAUUAGCUUCUAGAUUUUAUUUAUUUAUUCAUGAGAGACACACAAAGAGAGAGGCAGAGACACAGGCAGAGGGAGAAGCAGGUUCCACGCAGGGAGUCUGAUGUGGGACUUGAUCCUGGGACUCCAGGAUCACACCCUGAGCCAAAGGCAGGCACUAAACCACUGAGCCACCCAGGCAUCCCAGUUUCUAGAUUUUUAAAAUUUUUUUUGUAUAUAUAUAUAUAUAUAUAUAUAUAUAUAUAUAUAUAUAUAUAUAUUUUUUUUUUAUGAUAGUCACAGAGAGAGAGAGAGAGAGAGAGAGAGAGAGGCAGAGACAUAGGCAGAGGGAGAAGCAGGCUCCAUGCACCGGGAGCCUGAUGUGGGAUUCGAUCCUGGGUCUCCAGGAUCGCGCCCUGGGCCAAAGGCAGGCGCCAAACCGCUGCACCACCCAGGGAUCCCUGUAUAUUUUUUAUUGGAAUUCAAUUUGCCAACAUAUAGUAUAACACCCAGUGCUGUAAUCUAAUGUAAUCUAAUUUAAUUUGCUAUUAUGUUGUUGAAUGCUUACUACAUGCUAGGUGCCAUGACAUGGGAUUCCUACAUAUUGCUGUAUUUAUCUCUCCCCUAUACCCUGCAGGAUAGCUAUUAAUCCCAUUUCACAAACAGUGACACAGAGGCUCAGAGAGGCUAGUCAGCUUGCCCAAGGUCACAGUGGGAAUCAGGUUGUGGCUUUGACACUUAUGUGCCAUGUAAUCUCUCUGAGCCCGGUUUUCUCCAUGUGAGUCAGGUUCUUGGAACUCUGAGACAAGAGAGGGGUGUUCGAGGAAGGCUUACCACAAGAGGCAGGAUUUCAGGGGCCUUGGGAGUAUGGCCAUUUCCUCUAUUCAUCAAUAGAGGGUUAGUGUGUGUGUGUGUGUGUGUGUGUGUGUGUGUUUGCGUGCACAUACUAGCACGUGCAUGCACAUUCCGAAUAUGAGAGAAUGAGGUGAGUAGGCAAUGAGUGGACCUCAGAAUCUACUCCCAUCUACCUUCUCCAGAAUAAAAAGCAAAUAUGCCUCUGCA
rnacentral:lncRNA from 12 species